UCCGAGAUGCAGAAGCCUGGUUGCCAAGGU
rnacentral:piRNA from 1 species